rnacentral:rRNA from 1 species
UGGGGAAUAUUGGGCAAUGGGCGCAAGCCUGACCCAGCAACGCCGCGUGAGUGAAGAAGUCAUUCGUGAUGUAAAGCUCUAUCAGCAGGGAAGAAAAUGACGGUACCUGAGUAAGCAGCCCCGGCUAACUACGUGCCAGCAGCCGCGGUAAUACGUAGGGGGCAAGCGUUAUCCGGAUUUACUGGGUGUAAAGGGAGCGUAGACGGCCAUGCAAGUCUGAAGUGAAAUGCCAGUGCUCAACACUGGAACUGCUUUGGAAACUGUGUAGCUGGAGUGCAGGAGAGGUAAGUGGAAUUCCUAGUGUAGCGGUGAAAUGCGUAGAUAUUAGGAGGAACACCAGUGGCGAAGGCGGCUUACUGGACUGUAACUGACGUUGAGGCUCGAAAGCGUGGGGAGCAAACAGG